rnacentral:rRNA from 1 species
AACUUAAAGGAAUUGACGGGGGCCCGCACAAGCGGUGGAGCAUGUGGUUUAAUUCGAUGAUACGCGAGGAACCUUACCUGGGCUCAAAUGUAUGUUGACGUAUUCUGAAAGGGAUACUUCUUCGGACAAUAUACAAGGUGCUGCAUGGUUGCCGUCAGCUCGUGCCGUGAGGUGUCGGGUUAAGUCCCAUAACGAGCGCAACCCCUACCUUUAGUUGCCAUCAGGUUAAGCUGGGGACUCUAAAGGAACUGCCUACGCAAGUAGUGAGGAAGGCGGGGAUGACGUCAAAUCAGCACGGCCCUUACGUCCAGGGCUACACACGUGUUACAAUGGGUGGUACAAAGGGCAGCUACCUGGCGACAGGAUGCUAAUCUCGAAAACCGCUCUCAGUUCGGAUCGGAGUCUGCAACUCGACUCCGUGAAGCUGGAUUCGCUAGUAAUCGCGCAUCAGCCACGGCGCGGUGAAUACGUUCCCGGGCCUU